UGUCCCAAAACCCUAACAUCACGAUUUCUUGCAAAUUGAAGCCUCAAAUCAGCCCUAAAUCAAGUUUUGAACACGAAUUAGUGAUCCUCAUCGCGAGAGGAUUAAGAGGCAAAGAGUCCGGAUCAUCAAGCGGACAAGCCGGAGAGAAUUCACGGGGAAAAGGCGCGCUUUAAAGCUUUCAGGUACCCAAGUGAAGGAUGAAGAUCAAGCUUGUCAACUCGAACCGAACGCUCUAGCAAACGCUUCCGCAUAUAACUUUUUGUUUUAAAAACCAUGUAAACAAUUGUAGUUAAUGUCUUGGUUAUGAUUUUGUUAAAAUUGUACAUGUUUGUGGUGCCUAGAUGGAUUAAAAUGAUGAAAGUUUU